CCUACGGGUGGCAGCAGUGGGGGAUAUUGCACAAUGGGGGGAACCCUGAUGCAGCGACGCCGCGUGGGUGAAGAAGCGCCUCGGCGCGUAAAGCCCUGUCAGCAGGGAAGAAAAUGACGGUACCUGAAGAAGAAGCCCCGGGUAACUACGUGCCAGCAGCCGCGGUAAAACGUAGGGGGCAAACGUGAUCCGGAUUUACUGGGUGUAAAGGGGUCCCAGACGGCGAUGUAAGCCAGGUGUGAAAGCCCGGGGCACAACCCCGGGACUGCUCUUGGAACUGCGUGGCUGGAGUGCAGGAGGGGCAGGCGGAAUUCCUGGUGUAGCGGUGAAAUGCGUAGAUAUCAGGAGGAACACCGGUGGCGAAGGCGGCCUGCUGGACUGCAACUGACGUUGAGGCCCGAAAGCGUGGGGAGCAAACAGGAUUAGAUACCCUUGUAGUC
rnacentral:rRNA from 1 species